rnacentral:lncRNA from 1 species
CAAUUUCUUGGAUGUUUACUUACGCGCCGCUUUUCAUUAUUUUGAGUGUAAAUUUCUCUUCUAAAUUAUGUUAGGAUUAGUCUAGACAUUAAAAAAAAAAACUACAAAAACAUUUGCAUGGACACUUAGUGGUUUCAUAAAGAUUAUAAUUGGUAAUCAAGAUUGUAUGGCCAUUUAGAUAAACAACCUUCCAAGUUAGUGGUACCGCAAGGGCGCUAAUAGAAACAUUGGCGUAAACAAGUCCCCGUUCCUAGAAAUCUCUGGUUGCGUAUGAAUCGAGACAACAC